UACGGAGGGUGCGAGCGUUGUCCGGAAUCACUGGGCGUAAAGGGCGCGUAGGCGGCCUGAUAAGUAGGGGGUGAAAUCUUGCGGCUUAACCGCAAGGCUGCCUUCUAAACUGUCGGGCUCGAGCACGGUAGAGGCAGGUGGAAUUCCCGGUGUAGCGGUGGAAUGCGUAGAGAUCGGGAAGAACAUCAGUGGCGAAGGCGGCCUGCUGGGCUGUUGCUGACGCUGAGGCGCGACAGCGUGGGGAGCAAACAGG
rnacentral:rRNA from 1 species